CAGCCGCCACGGUAAAACGGAGGGUGCAAGCGUUAAUCGGAAUUACUGGGCGUAAAGCGCACGCAGGCGGUUUGUUAAGUCAGAUGCGAAAUCCCCGAGCUUAACUUGGGAACUGCAUUUGAAACUGGCAAGCUAGAGUCUUGUAGAGGGGGGUAGAAUUCCAGGUGUAGCGGUGAAAUGCGUAGAGAUCUGGAGGAAUACCGGUGGCGAUGGCGGCCCCCUGGACAAAGACUGACGCUCAGGUGCGAAAGCGUGGGGAGCAAACAGGAUUAGAUACCCCAGUAGUCCCUUGUCUCUUAUU
rnacentral:rRNA from 1 species